CCUACGGGUGGCAGCAGUGAGGAAUAUUGGUCAAUGGACGAGAGUCUGAACCAGCCAAGUAGCGUGAAGGAUGACUGCCCUAUGGGUUGUAAACUUCUUUUAUAUGGGAAUAAAACGUUCCACGUGUGGGAUUUUGUAUGUACCAUAUCAAUAAGGAUCGGCUAACUCCGUGCCAGCAGCCGCGGUAAUACGGAGGAUCCGAGCGUUAUCCGGGUUUAUUGGGUUUAAAGGGAGCGUAGGUGGAUUGGUAAGUCAGUUGUGAAAGUGUGCGGCUCAACCGUAAAAUUGCAGUUGAAACUGGCAGUCUUGAGUACAGGAGAGGUGGGCGGAAUUCGUGGUGUAGCGGUGAAAUGCUUAGAUAUCACGAAGAACUCCGAUUGCGAAGGCAGUUCACUGGACUGCAACUGACACUGAGGCUCGAAAGUGUGGGUAUCAAACAGGAUUAGAUACCCUGGUAGUC
rnacentral:rRNA from 1 species